rnacentral:lncRNA from 1 species
AAGGUUUGGACGAAAUUGAAGACUUAAAGAGGCUAAGAAUGUGAAGAAUUAGUGUACAAAGGAUCAUGAAUUCAGCCACAAAAGGACACACAUCCUUGCCGUGCAAUCCACAUAGCAUUCCCUUUGGAUUCCCAUGCAUGCUUAAUGAUCCUUGUCCCCUAAUACACUCAAUUAUCACACUCAAUUGCUGCAUACCUCUUGUUCCCUUCACCCAUCUGAUUUCACACAACUUUCACAACCAUUCCAUGCACCAAUUGAUGCUCCAUCAUCCACAUUUGGGAUCCAAUGCCGUGUGCAACACAUGUUGUUGCACCUUUGACUAAUUUCUGAAACAUUUCACCUCCCCUUUUCAUUUCAAUGCAACGAACACAAUCAUUCAUGCUCCCUAGCUGAAAUACCACUCCAUUUUACCCUCCAUACUUUGCAUCAUUGCUCCAUUUUCAUCCUUGGACCAUUGCACACCACAAAUUCACCCUCAUUGCUGUGCAUUUCCCCCACUGCCUAAUCUGAUUCUCUAGGGUUUUGGGGCCUAUAUAUACAUGUUUACAACCCUUGGCAAAGGGUUCAACCUCCCAUAUUCAUCAUUCAUGCAGAAAAUUCGUCCAUACUCACCUUAGGCAGCAAAACACCCCAAAAACACCAUUUUAGUGCCCAGAAAACAUAACAGCCACUCCACCUUAUUCCACCCUCUUUGCCGAGUUUUCCACCACCCUCCAACCAUCAAACACUCCUCCACACUCACCCUAAACCUUUCUAUAUCAUUCCUCAUCCAUUCUACACCAUAAAACUACCCAAAACCUGUCCACAAACCAAUCUGCCGCAAGCAAGGGAAAGGAGAAUUCUUGGAUGCACUUGCUGCCAAGUUGGAGCAUUCUAGGUGUUUUCUUUCUUUGGAUUUUAAUGUCUAAUUCAUGUAAUCUUUGUUUUGCUUUAAGUAUGAUUGGCUAAUUUUGUUUUGGCUAAGGGUGUAUUCAAAACCAUGAUUAUAUAUGUGAAAUAAGUUGAUUACUUCCAGUUAUUGUUGCAUAAGUUGUGAAUACAAUUUGCUUAACCGUUGGAUUUAGAACUUAUUCUUGCAUGUUGAUUGAGAGUGCACGCUUGAUUUGCAUGUUUGAAUUUGGUGCUAGGAUAUAAAUUUGUUUCACCUAAUUGUUAUGAAUUUAUAUUCGCAAGUAGUGAAGGUCGCUAGUCACGAUCGUGUUAAGUAGAUUCCUGGCAAGAGUAUCAUGCUUUCCAUAGUUACAAAUGCCUUGUCGAUGCUUAUGAUUUCCAAAGAACGUAAUGAUUCUAACUUGUGUCUUUAUCAUGCUGUUCAUAUAGAGAACUUGUUAGGAAUAAUUUGUUUGCGAUGCAUAUUCAUCCGAUUCAAUGAUUCUAGGGAAAUCUGAAGGUUAAUUUAAGCGGACCUAAUUAACUUGGAGUGUCGAGGUUCAUAACUUAUUCAAUUGAUAACUGGAAAUCGAUUUAGGUUGCAUAU